UCCUAUGAGAAGGGCGACCACUGAGAC
rnacentral:rasiRNA from 1 species